rnacentral:lncRNA from 1 species
CCGGGGUCCUUGGCACCACCGAGAGUUUCAGCCCGGAAGGAGAAUUACCUUCCGUGUUCCGGAGCCCUCCCUGACAGCAGAAAUGGAACUGGUAAAAGGAGUUGCAGGACAGUCACAGGAGCAGCACUCAGACAUAUGAACCAUGUAUUCUUUGGACACAAAUAAUGAAGGAUCCUUCUCCAGGAGACACAAGACUAAGAAAAAUGUCCUUAAGGCACCUGAAUGGACACCUGCACUUCUGAUAGGUCCUGGUGUCACCUGAUACCUAGUUGCAAACUGAAACGGGAGGUAGAGGAAGAGGGUUAGAUGAACCCACAUGGAGGACCGAAACCCAGAUCUCAGCAUCCAGUCCUGCGACCUGGAGGACUCUAUGAUCUCUAAGUGGAUGAACUAGACCUCUACUGCCUCACCAGAUAUCCCUUUUCCUUUGUCUCCAGGAACCUGUCGGAAGAGAAGGGAAGCAGUGUGUACUGAAUGCCAUUUCUGGGCCAGGCAUUGUUCUAGGCACUUUACCUAUGUUCACUCACUUACUUCUCAUAAAACUCAUGUUUCCAUUUCACACAGUAAAAUGAGGCUCCAAAGAGUUACAUCAUUUGUAGUAAAUAGCAGAAUGAGGAUUCAAACCUUCCUGACUCCCAAGUCCUGCCUCUUGCUUAUUGCACACCAAUUCCCCUAAGCUAGGAUGAUGAUAUUGCAGUGCCACUCUCAUGAAAAGCCCAGGGUGGUGAGAAGGGUGUCUGCUGGCUCUCUCCUUGGACUCCAAAGGCAGUUGACAGUCUCCUAACAUUCACAAAUGUAAUUGAAUGCAACCUCCACAUUUUUUGAGAUCUGUACUCUUUUACAAAGCUCAUUCAUUUAGUCACAGCCUAAUCAUGAGCUCUUUAUUGGGAAAUUCAACGUUUGGUGGAACCAGAGACAUGGCACUGAUCCUCUGCAUCUGUAUUAGUUUGUGUUUAUUGAAUUACUUAUGUGCCACUCCAGGAAACACCAGUAUUAAUAUUUUGACCUGGCAAAAAGCGAAAAUGAUUAACUCAGUAAUGUGAAACUGUUGAUGCAAAUUUGCAACUAGAAUUAGAACACAGACUGAGAUCAACAGUCAGUCUGCUGUUUGCUCUUUUGAGUACUGUUUGCAUGGAAAGUUAAGGAUGAAAGUAAACCAAAUCAAGAGUGGUUCCAUUCUUAAACCUUCAAAGGCUUAAUGGGAUGUUUAGUUCAGUGCCUUAAAGCACAUAAAUAGCUGUAAGCUCAGCAACAUGGUUCCGAUGUCUAGAUUAGAUUUACCAGUCUUUGUUUAUACAUGCAAAGUCAAAUAGAGGACUGAUGCAAUUAUCAGUAUAAUUCAGGCCAAAUGUUUGCUACAUGAAUAUUUAGCUGGUCAUUACUAAGUGGGGGAACUUUUUUGCUACCAUUCCUCUAACGGUCUUAUAUCUCUAUUUUAUAUUUGUCAGAUACAGCUUUAAGAUAAGCAGCCAAGAUCCCACUUUUCAGUGCAAUAAAUUAAUAUGUCAUUUAGCCUCUUAAAGCUCCCCUCUUGCCCUUCUGAAAAUGGACAUAAACUAUUAGGUUGGUGCAAAAGUAAUUUCAGUUUAUAUGCCUUAUAAAGGUUUUGCCUUUGAUCUCUACAUUGAAUCCAUCUGCACAGCCCUGGAAAGGAAGUAAAUAAAGAAUUGCAGCAAUUAAAGAAUCUCCUGUUCUCCUCAGUUCUCACUACCCCGA